AUUGAACGCUGGCGGCAUGCUUUACACAUGCAAGUCGAACGGUAACAGGGAGCUUGCUCCGCUGACGAGUGGCGAACGGGUGAGUAAUAUAUCGGAACGUACCCAAGAGUGGGGGAUAACGUAGCGAAAGUUACGCUAAUACCGCAUACGAUCUAAGGAUGAAAGCAGGGGACCUUCGGGCCUUGUGCUCCUGGAGCGGCCGAUAUCUGAUUAGCUAGUUGGUGAGGUAAAGGCUCACCAAGGCGACGAUCAGUAGCUGGUCUGAGAGGACGACCAGCCACACUGGAACUGAGACACGGUCCAGACUCCUACGGGAGGCAGCAGUGGGGAAUUUUGGACAAUGGGCGCAAGCCUGAUCCAGCAAUGCCGCGUGAGUGAAAAAGGCCUUCGGGUUGUAAAGCUCUUUUGUCAGGGAAGAAACGGGAUUGGCUAAUAUCCAGUCCUAAUGACGGUACCUGAAGAAUAAGCACCGGCUAACUACGUG
rnacentral:rRNA from 1 species